UGGGGAAUAUUGGACAAUGGGCGAAAGCCUGAUCCAGCCAUGCCGCGUGUGUGAAGAAGGUCUUCGGAUUGUAAAGCACUUUAAGUUGGGAGGAAGGGCAGUAAGCGAAUACCUUGCUGUUUUGACGUUACCGACAGAAUAAGCACCGGCUAACUCUGUGCCAGCAGCCGCGGUAAUACAGAGGGUGCAAGCGUUAAUCGGAUUUACUGGGCGUAAAGCGCGCGUAGGUGGUUCGUUAAGUUGAAUGUGAAAGCCCCGGGCUCAACCUGGGAACUGCAUCCAAAACAGGCGAGCUAGAGUAGGGCAGAGGGUGGUGGAAUUUCCUGUGUAGCGGUGAAAUGCGUAGAUAUAGGAAGGAACACCAGUGGCGAAGGCGACCACCUGGGCUCAUACUGACACUGAGGUGCGAAAGCGUGGGGAGCAAACAGG
rnacentral:rRNA from 1 species